GAACAACUACGCAAAAGACUGGUUCGGCUCCGACGUGGCUCUCGUACAACAUCCAUUACUAGCUCCUGCAAAAUCAGUAAAGCCAGGAAAUCCGGUGUCACUGCCAACAAUUGCUCCAUUAAUUGUGAAAUGGUCAGAUUUGAACAAUGUCAAAGUUAAUGAACAAAUCGGACAGAAUUUCGAAAAGAGAAUUGAUUCACAUGUUUGGUGGCCGAAUAAGUAG
rnacentral:misc_RNA from 1 species